CCUACGGGUGGCUGCAGUGGGGAAUAUUGCACAAUGGGGGAAACCCUGAUGCAGCGACGCCGCGUGAAGGAAGAAGUCUUUCUGUAUGUAAACUUCUAUCAGCAGGGAAGAAAAUGCCGGUACCUGACUCAGCAGCCCCGGCUCACUCCGUUCCAGCAGCCGCCGUAAUACGUCGGGGGCAAGCGUUCUCCGGAUUUACUGGGGGGAAAGGGAGCGUAGGCGGUUUAGCAAGUCAGAAGUGAAAGCCCGGGGCUCAACUCGGGGAGUGCUUUUGAAACUGGUGAACUAGAUUGCAGGAGAGGUAAGUGGAAUUCCUAGUGUAGCGGUGAAAUGCGUAGAGAUUAGGAGGAACACCAGUGGCGAAGGCGGCUUACUGGACUGUAAAUGACGCUGAGGCUCGAAAGCGUGGGGAGCAAACAGGAUUAGAUACCCUUGUAGUC
rnacentral:rRNA from 1 species